rnacentral:rRNA from 1 species
GAUGAACGCUGGCGGCGUGCCUAAUACAUGCAAGUCGAGCGAACAGACGAGGAGCUUGCUCCUCUGACGUUAGCGGCGGACGGGUGAGUAACACGUGGAUAACCUACCUAUAAGACUGGGAUAACUUCGGGAAACCGGGGCUAAUACCGGAUAAUAUAUUGAACCGCAUGGUUCAAUAGUGAAAGACGGUUUUGCUGUCACUUAUAGAUGGAUCCGCGCCGCAUUAGCUAGUUGGUAAGGUAACGGCUUACCAAGGCAACGAUGCGAAGCCGACCGGAGAGGGAGAUCGGCCACCUUGGAAGUGAGGCACGGUCCAGACACCGACGGGAGGACGCAGUAGGGAAUCCUGCGCAAUGGGCGAGAGCCUAACGGAGCAACGCCGCGUGAGUGAUGAAGGUCUUCGGAUCGUAAAACUCUGUUAUUCGGAAGGAACUAAUAUGUAAGUAACUAUGCACGUCAUGACGGUACCUAAUCAGAAAGCCACGGCUAACUACGUG